rnacentral:rRNA from 1 species
UACGUAGGGAGCAAGCGUUGUCCGGAAUCAUUGGGCGUAAAGCGCGCGUAGGUGGCCCCAUAAGUCCGCUGUGAAAGUCAAAGGCUCAACCUUUGAAAGCCGGUGGAUACUGUGGGACUAGAGUACGGAAGAGGCGAGUGGAAUUCCUGGUGUAGCGGUGGAAUGCGCAGAUAUCAGGAGGAACACCAAUAGCGAAGGCAGCUCGCUGGGACGUUACUGACACUGAGGCGCGAAAGCUAGGGUAGCAAACGGG